rnacentral:rRNA from 1 species
AUUGAACGCUGGCGGCAGGCCUAACACAUGCAAGUCGAACGAGUGGCGGACGGGUGAGUAAUGUCUGGGAAACUGCCUGAUGUAGGGGGAUAACUACUGGAAACGGUAGCUAAUACCGCAUACCAUCGGAUGUGCCCAGAUGGGUUUAGCUUGUUGGUGGGGUAACGGCUCACAAAGGCGACGAUCCCUAGCUGGUCUGAGAGGAUGACCAGCCACACUGGAACUGAGACACGGUCCAGACUCCUAGGGGAGGCAGCAGUAGGGAAUAUUGCACAAUGGGCGAAAGCCUGAUGCAGCAAUGCCGCGUGUAUGAAGAAGGCCUUCGGGUUGUAAAGUACUUUCGGCGGGGAGGCGUUACCCGAAGAAGAAGCACCGGCUAACUCCGUGCCAGCAGCCGCGGUAAUAC